GACCAAAGGAAAAACACCCCCUGAUCUCAGAGAGGAGACCUUCGUCAGAGAAACUUGCUGGAAAGACUGUUCGUUUUGUUUGGGCAAAAAUCAAAUCUACAGAAUCAAAAUUAUCCAUUUUUAUCUGCUGUGAUCCUUCCUGUCUGUUGUUUGAUCAUGAACUCUUCUUCCAUCCAUUGAUCUGAAAGGUAAUUUCUGCUGUGCUCCUCUAAUUUGCCUAAGAUGUCACCCUUUAUGUCUACAUUGUAUACUCAUCUGGAGCUUAUCUUAGUGUAUGGUGUGAGAUGUUAGUCUAUACCUGGUUUCUGCCAAACUCCCUUCCAGUUUUACCCAAUAGAUUUUAGUAAUAUCGAGUUAUUGGGAGCAGCCAGUUGGCUCAGUGAUUUGUAAGCCAGGCCUAGAGAGGAAAGGUCUUGGGUUCAAAUGUAACCUCAGAUACUUUUAGCUAUGUGACCCUGGCUAAGUCACUUCACUUCCACUGCCUAGCCCUUACUACUCUUCUGCCUUGGAACCCAUACACAGUAUUAUUCUAAGGUAGAAAGUAAGGGUUAAAAAAAAAACAAACCAUAGUGAGUUCUUACCCCUGUAGCUGGGAUCUUUGGGUUUAUCAGAUACUAAGUAAUGGUGCUCAUUUGCUUCUAUAUGUUGUGUACCUAACCUAGUCCAUGGAUUAACUUCUCUAUUUCCUACCUAGGACCAGAUACUUUUUUUAAACCUUUACCUUCUGUCUUAGAAUCAAUACUAAGCAUAAUUCGAAGUCAGAAGAGCUGUAAUGGCUAAGCAAUGGGGAUUAAGUGACUUGCCUAGGGUCACAAAGCCAGGAAAUCUUUGAGGCCAGAUUUGAACCCAGCACUUCCCAUCUCCGGGCCUGGCUCUCUCUCCACUCAGCCACCUAGCUGCCCUAGGACAGGACAAUUUUGAUGAUGACCACAUUAUAGUGUGCUUUGAGAAUUACUACUAAGGCUCCUUUCUUCUCACUUUUUCUUUUCAUUGAUUCUAAAGGAAGACUCCAGAAUGGAAGGGUCUUCCCUGUCUU
rnacentral:lncRNA from 1 species